UGUUUCGGCAAGGGGGUCAUCCCGACUUACCAACCCGAUGCAAACUGCGAAUACCGGAGAAUGUUAUCACGGGAGACACACGGCGGGUGCUAACGUCCGUCGUGAAGAGGGAAACAACCCAGACCGCCAGCUAAGGUCCCAAAGUCAUGGUUAAGUGGGAAACGAUGUGGGAAGGCCCAGACAGCCAGGAUGUUGGCUUAGAAGCAGCCAUCAUUUAAAGAAAGCGUAAUAGCUCACUGGUCGAGUCGGCCUGCGCGGAAGAUGUAACGGGGCUAAACCAUGCACCGAAGCUGCGGCAGCGACACUGUGUGUUGUUGGGUAGGGGAGCGUUCUGUAAGCCUGUGAAGGUGUGCUGUGAGGCAUGCUGGAGGUAUCAGAAGUGCGAAUGCUGACAUAAGUAACGAUAAAGCGGGUGAAAAGCCCGCUCGCCGGAAGACCAAGGGUUCCUGUCCAACGUUAAUCGGGGCAGGGUGAGUCGACCCCUAAGGCGAGGCCGAAAGGCGUAGUCGAUGGGAAACAGGUUAAUAUUCCUGUACUUGGUGUUACUGCGAAGGGGGGACGGAGAAGGCUAUGUUGGCCGGGCGACGGUUGUCCCGGUUUAAGCGUGUAGGCUGGUUUUCCAGGCAAAUCCGGAAAAUCAAGGCUGAG
rnacentral:rRNA from 1 species